UUUAAAUUGAGAGUUUGAUCCUGGCUCAGGAUGAACGCUGGCGGCGUGCUUAACACAUGCAAGUCGAGCGAUGAAGUUUCCUUCGGGAAACGGAUUAGCGGCGGACGGGUGAGUAACACGUGGGUAAC
rnacentral:rRNA from 1 species